UCCCAUUCUAUCUUUUUCUGCUUGCCAUGUUUUCUAUUUUGUGAUUAUUUCAACAAGGUAAUAACGUUUCUAAGAUAUUAAAUUUCAUCUACGCUGGUGAUUGCAAUCUCAAUGGCGUGGAUGCCAGUGGUAACGGGAGGGGUGGCGCUCAUGAGUACAAUCACAAAGUCGAAAUCCCACGCAGUUCUUUACUAUGGUGAGACCAUGAAUGAAUCGGUCGCGAUGCGUCGCGGUCCAGUCACCAAUUCGUGUGGAUUGAGGUCGAACUCGACCGCAAUGGACUACUCCAGCGUCGCCUAAGCCAUGCAAAGGGUAUCCUCGGAGACGUGGUUCCAGGUCUCCGAGGGGGGUUCAUAACACUCGCCAAUGAGCACUG
rnacentral:lncRNA from 1 species